UACGAAGGGAGCUAGCGUUGUUCGGAAUCACUGGGCGUAAAGCGCACGUAGGCGGAUGUGUCAGUCAGGGGUGAAAUCCCGGAGCUCAACUUCGGAACUGCCUUUGAUACAGCACGUCUUGAGUCCGGAAGAGGUGGGUGGAAUUCCUAGUGUAGAGGUGAAAUUCGUAGAUAUUAGGAAGAACACCAGUGGCGAAGGCGGCUCACUGGCCCGGUACUGACGCUGAAAUACGAAAGCGUGGGGAGCAAACAGGG
rnacentral:rRNA from 1 species